rnacentral:piRNA from 1 species
UCAGAGAGAUGCUUGCUGGCUAGAGUGGU